GGGCUCAGCCGGGGUAUGAGGGGUGGGCAGAGUCCCCCCACCUGGCUCACCCUUUCUCUUCCUCUCCUCCUCUGGGCACCUUCUUUGACUCCCACAGGCUCCUAGCUCAGACCUCUCCACUCUUCCUGGCUUUCCUUCAGGGAGGUCAGGAAAGUCAGGGACCCGUGGAUAAAGACCAGGAGAACACAAUGAGCAGAAAAGCGUAGGCGAGCAGCUGGCAGCCACCAUCGCAUUUGCUCCCGGAAGGCAAGAGGAGGCAGAGAAAAUUCCAGAACCCAUUUAAGCGUCUGGGACCCUGAGGUAACCAUGAGCUACUGGCAGGCCGGGGGACACAGCGGGUACAGAAGGGGUCUCUGGAGUUUCGUGAGGAAGUAUUCGGGCUGUGCGGCGCCGCGACCCUGGCAGGACGCUGCUGUCCCGCCAGCGAAAGCGGGGCGCGCUCAGGGCUGCGGGCAGCGGGGGUGCAGCGGGGAGAGCCAGGGCCUGGGCGCGGAGGAGGGGCUGGUAUGGGACCCUCCGGGUGGGCGCGGCCCCGCGGGGCCUUGCGGCCACACCGCCACCGUGCCCAGCGGCCCCAUCAGCGCAUAUUCAGGAUGAACCCCGGACACGCGCCCAGAACCGUCUGGUGACCCAGUGAUGAAAGCUCGAAUCUUAUAGGAUCCGUAUUCAUUUCCCGUGGGCUCAAGCCCAGCCUCCGCGGGCGGCGCGGGCCCUCGCGGCGAGUGUCCACGAGGA
rnacentral:lncRNA from 1 species